UACGGAGGGUGCAAGCGUUAUCCGGAAUCACUGGGUUUAAAGGGUGCGUAGGUGGUUUAGUAAGUCAGAUGUGAAAGCCCGACGCUUAACGUUGGAACUGCAUUUGAUACUGCUAAACUUGAAUCAGGUUGAGGUAGGCGGAAUGUGGCAUGUAGCGGUGAAAUGCAUAGAUAUGCCAUAGAACACCAAUUGCGAAGGCAGCUUACUGGCCCUGUAUUGACACUGAGGCACGAAAGCGUGGGGAGCGAACAGG
rnacentral:rRNA from 1 species